GUCAGUUCAUUGUAUGUGUUUGUCGGUUGUCGUAUGUCAGUUUACCCGUGGCGCCUUGUUUUCUCCUGUUUGGAUUUUGGACCCCACCAGGAAAAUGUCCACGAGAAGUCGCGGCGAGCUGAUGAGUGAACACGGCUGAAAAUAUUCCUGAAAAAUUCAACACAUGAAAGCGGGCGGGGAUGAUAACGUUUACACACGACGGGGUUAAAACAACAACAAAGGUAUGGACCCUACAACUCUGCUUCCGCGUUCUGUGGCUGGUUCAGGAUGCAGUGAGCUCCCAGUAGAUGCAGGGAGGAACAGCUCUACAGUUGAAAGGGAUCACCGCGCAGGCCACUCGGCACCGCUGCGGGGCAGCUGCUGCAGCUGUGUCCGCAGGCGUCAUCAGCCUGAAACUCUAUCCAUCCUGCUCGCCCUGCCCACAUCCCGUGAGUAAAGCUCAGCCUGUUCGCCCCUCCACUUUGAACCGGACGAGAAGGAAAGAAAAGCAAGAUCCCCAUUGUCUAAAAUAUUCAUCCCACUUCAGAAACAAUGCACUCAACCUGCACAAAAUGUGACUAAAAGAUCAACAAUGAGAGCUGAAGUUCGAUAGUUAGGCUAUCAGUGUUGAGAUUCCGUUAAACAGCGAAUCAAUAUCCUAUUUAAGGCCUGCUUUUGCGGUACAAAACAACACAAGAUAAUAAAGUCUGACACAUUUACAAUCUCAAACUUGUAUUUUAACUUGUAUUUUGUGUCGUAACGACCACAGAAACGUGGAGAGGGAAUUUGGCUGAUGCGCUCCGCGUUUCCAAACAACUGGGCGGUUGCAUGGCAAUGUGCAGCGAGGAGAAAGUAACAAAGCCAUAAAUAAUAUCGGACACUCACUUGUC